AUUCCCCCUCCCCUUCCGUGUUUGCGCGCCCGACCAGGGGAUGGUUCCAGGGAGGAAGAAAGAAAGAGCCCCCAGCGGCCUGCAGAACUGAGGUCACCGCGUCGGAACGCGUGUUCGGGUCCUCUCCUCCCACCUGUUCGGCAGAGUGGAUAAUGAGAGAGAGAGACAGAGAGAAAGGUCUUCCUUUUUGCUGUUGGUUCACCCUCCAAUGGCCGCUGCAGCCGGUGCAUCUCGCUGAUCCGAAGCCAGGAUCCAGACUCCUCGGGAUGUCAUCCUCUGUGCCUCAAGGUCAUACCUGGGUCCGACAAGUGAAGAAGGAGGAUGAGGAGGAGGACCCCCUGGAUCAGCUAAUCUCCCGCUCUGGCUGUGCCGCCUCCCAUCUGGCAGUGCAGGAGUGCAUGGCCCAGCACCAGGACUGGCGGCAGUGCCAGUCACAGGUGCAGGCCUUCCGGGAUUGCAUGAGUGAGCAGCAGGCAAGGCGGCAUGAGGAGCUGCAGAGAAGGAAAGAGCAGGCCAGUGCUCGCCACUGAGACACCAAACCACCUGUCCCCAGAGAUCACGAGAGGAAGAGAUCCUGAAUGCUGGAAGUGUGGGCCAGGAGAUAUAUAAAUUUUGAAAAUCAGAGUAUGGCUUCUCCUGAAUGCUUUCACACGUCAUCACCAAGUAGAAACACUGUAAGUUAAGCCAUUGUAAAUUAGGUGCCAUUUGUAUUAAUUUGUGCAGUUAAAAGCAACAGGUCAUGGGAGAGGAUGGGUGAUACCACCAGAGAGAGGAUGAAAGGGCCUCCUUAGUGGGAGGAACGGCUUACAAUCAGCCAAGCAGAGCAAGCACAUUUUGAAGGACUCCUGUUCCUACACGGGGCCAGCCCUGGGUGGGUCCGAGAACGGAACAUGUUUGAUGGGGCACAGGGUUGUGUUACCCAACCAGUUUCCUCAAGGAAAUGGGCAUAAUUCCUAAUUUGUAAUCCUAGUAAGAGAAUUAAAUAAGGAAAUCACAAAUAAUAAAAGUGUCCCCAUUGAUUGCAGUGUUAUCACCUAAUAUUUAUAGAUCAUUUGACUCAGGCAGUCCAGUUCCAGAGCUAUGUCCCAAGCCUAUGACAGGCUACCUUGAAACCCCAUUCAGGACCCUAGCUAGCCAUGUGACUUCACACAGCUUAUUUAAAGUUUCAGGAUCCAUAUUUUCACCUGUCCAAAUCGCAGAUGGGACCUCCCAGGCUCGGGACUCACCAGUGCAGACCUCCCUCCCAAGGCUGUUCCAAGAAUGAGUCUGCAUUGGUGAUGAGCUUAGAAACCGCAUCUGGCCUGAGGACAGCUUUGUGCGGCCCUUCACUGCUGUCGUUAGUGCCUGCGGGAGACUGGUGGAGUGGGUCAUCUAACGGGACCCCCGCAGUGCUGCCCUCCCUCCCCUUGUGGGAGAGGGAAUGUGGGUCCGACGGGGCAGCAGACUGAGUGUUUCUGGCUCUAAAGCCCAGGCUGUUCUGUGCUCGGUGCUUUCUUGCUAGCGUCCUGAGCCCAUGACAGUGCCUAACUCACUGGGAGUAACCACCUGGCUCCAUAAAUCCUGCUCCACUUGCCUCAGCUUUGACAGAAAGGAAAGUAGCCAGUGCAAGCUGGACUAGUAGGUUUUUCUUUAGUCUCAGUUCUGCCACCAGUCAUGGGGCUGGUGUUUCUGGUGGUCCACGCCUGUCCCCAGAAACCUUCCCCUGCCUCUGGCAGCUCAGCAGUGCUCUGCAGAGAGGCUUGGUGCCAGGGCCGGGUGGCGGCCUCAGGAUGUAGCUCUUCCCUGCAAGGUGUUUGGCAGGGCCUUGGGCAGAUGCUCAGUACAAAGGUGCACCAUAAAGAGGUGCACCUUUAUGAGGAAGAAGAUACUCUUUGGGGCCAAAGCUGUAGCGUAGUAGGUUAAGCAUCUACUUGCAGCACCGGCAUCCCAUUUGGGCACCAGUUCGAGUC